CCUAGUGUGAUUUUUUUUUUUUUUUUUUUUUUUCUAGUUGUUUGAACCAAUCCAUGACAAUCAUUCCUUGUUCUGAUUCCCAAAGCAGAAAAUAGCAAUUUUUUAUAUAUGGAUUUUUUAUGGCUGUGCGAGUCCAUUUUUGUUUGUUUUCCAUUCUGUUGAACUGGGUGCAUUUAAUUUGAAAUAGAGAAGGACCAUGAAGAAGAAAAGUUUAGCAGAUCCUUCUGACUGCCCAGCUCAUUUUGCUGCUGCAGGUGGUCAUGGAUUUGAUGCUCACCUUACUCAUCUGAGUCUCCCUAUUUUUUUUGUGUUUGUUAUUUAUUUAUUUAUUUUUUUUAAUUUUUAAUUUUUAAUUUUAAUUUUUUAGUUUUUUGGGUUUGGGGUUCCAUAUUCUCCAAUUUCUUUCUUCAAAGUUUCAAUCUAUCUGUUAAAAGACUAAAGCUUUUAAUGAUGCACAAAUAAUUGCUAUGUAUGGCAGAGUUCAAGAUGAUGAUUGACAAUGUGGUUUUUGAGAUUUAGUAUUGUCAAAAUGCAUGUGAAGUCAUAGAAUUGAUUGAAAAGUGGGAAUUUUAUUUGUCAUGUAAACAAAAAUCUAGUGAAUAUUAGUAGUCUUUUUUCUAUUGAGUAAAAGUCAGGCGACUACCGAGGAUAGAUCUUGGAAGCUGUUGGGAAGUUGUGGGUUUUGGUUUGGCAUCUUUCUAGCUUUAGGAAAAAGAGCCUUAAGGAGGGAUAGUUGGGAAAGUGAGAGAAGAAAAAAAUUGAGACAAGGCUGUAUAAGAUUGCAGUGACCGGUAUAUUUUAGUUAGUUGCUUAUGUGAAUCAGAGGAACAAUAUCAACUUCAGAAUGGGAACUCUUGCUAGCUAGAAAUAUGAUUUGGGUAUCUUUUAGAAAAUAUUUCUGAUUUGGGUUGUAUUUGAGGUUUGUUGACGUAUUAUUAGAACAUAUCUGCAAAUAGGUCUUUGUUAUCCUAGCCAGAAACCAUUUUUGGGCAAAAGUCAACAUGGUUGUGUUUUGCUUGCUUUUGACAUUGUCUUUUGAGCGGGUAUUUUCUGCUAUGAACGUUGUGAAGAAUUGAUUACCCAAAUACAUAGAUAAUCAAAUGAUGAAUGUUUCACUUUUAUAUAUAUUGAGAAUGAUAUUCUUGUAUGAUAACGGAUAUGAAGUUGGUGUGCAUGUGCCAAAAUUUUAAAACAAGAAAAUUUGUUAACAGAAAUUGAUGCAUUAACCAGAAAAAAAAAGAAAAAAAUUUAAUCUAUUUAGUUUAGCUCCCAUACUAUUGUUAUCUAAAAGUACCCUUCUGAAGUAAAUUCCCAGAUCUGCUGCUGUUUAUGGUCUUUGCAUUUUUCAUAUAGAAAUCAUGCUUGUCUGAUUCUACUGCCGUUUGAAAUGGGUCGGCAAUUGGGAAAGACUGGUAAAGGUGUUAUGUAACUUCCAAAGACAGGUAAUAUAGUGGUCAUAGCCUUGGGUUCCGGCGUGGUGGCUGUCAUAAUUUUGUGUGCAAUUUGCCAAAGUGGGAGCAACAACCAAAAGCACCAAACUACGCUUCCCGUGGCCAUGCCGACUGUCCGCACUAGAGCUCAAUCCAUUAGUACCACCCGAAGUAAAGGUGGUGGCAUGGUUAUCUUGGGAGGUGCGGCUCUCGCUACCACAGCUGUCCUCGCCGGCGCUGGAGGUUGCGGAGGUGAUGGAGAUGGCGGAGGCGGUGGAGGUUACGGUGGCGAUGGAGGUGGCGGAGGCGGUGGAGGUUGCGGUGGCGGUGGAUGUGGUGGUGGUGGAGGUUAACUAAAUUUAUGUCUUUUUUUUUUUUUAAAAAAAAUUAUUUUUAUUGUAAUAAUGAAUAGUAAAAGGAAUAUUGUCAAUACAAAGACGGUUUUAGAAGAUUUAUAAUAUGGCAUAUAUAUUAAUUAGCAACUAUUAAUUUUAAUUUAGAGAUUCUUACCAAUCCAACCUUUUGUAAUUUGCAUAUUAGAGUACUAGCUUAGCUAGUUGUUGUUAUUUUAUUUAUUUGUUUUUUGUUAAUUAAAUUACUAUAAAAUAUGUUUUCUUCCUGUUUAAAAAACUUUAAAUAAUUGUUACUUUAAAUUUUAAUUUUGUUGGUAUGGCGGUCGACUACGCAAUAUAGUUGUAAUAUAUAGUUUUACUGAUUAAACAUACCAUAUGGGCACUGCAUAAAUGAACUUUUCAAUGACAAGAUAAGUAGAUAUAUAGCUAGAACUUCCACAUACAUGCAAGGUUCUCGGCCAUGUAUUAAGGGGGAAAAAAAAAAAAAGUUUUUCUUGGCAGCAAUAGAGAUGGGCAAGUGGUUCCAUGCCUGUGUCAUCAAGACUGGGUUUGAGUCUCAUCCGCAUGUUGCUUCCUCCAUUCUAGACAUGUACAGCAAAUGUGGAAGCAUCAAAGAGGCUUGCCAGUUAUUUAACAAAAUGGAAGAUCAGAAUUUGGUGACUUGGACAGCUAUGUUAUCAGGGUAUGCUCAGAAUGGGCUUGGGAGGGAGUCUGUUGAGCUUUUUAGCAGGAUGAAAGAAGCUGGUCUGAAGCCAGACAGUAUUACAUUUGUUGGGGUUUUAACCGCAUCUAGUCAUGCUGGACUUGUCGAAGAAGGCUGACAAUUUUUUAAUUCUAUGACAAGUGAUUGUGGCUUGGAAGUAAAUAUAAAUCAUUAUGCUGGCAUGGUUGAUCUACUUGGUAGAGCUCAACAGGUGGAAGCAGCCGAGGCUCUGAUAGAAAAAGCACCAUUUCACUUAAAAUCAAAACAUCUCCUGUGGAAGACACUGUAAGGCGCCUGCAACAGACAUGGGAAUAUUGAAAUAGGAAACCGAAUUGCACAAAUGCUGGUUGAAUUAAAACCAAAUGAACCCUCAACCUAUGUUUUACUCUUGAACAUUUAUGCAUCACACUCUAUGUGGGAUAACUCUAGAAGUGAGAAGCAAAAUGAAAGCAGAGAAUGUUUAAAAGCAACCUGGCAGUAGUUGGAUUCAGGUGGUUGGUUAAAAGAUCAUGGAGAGCAUCACGCUAAUGUUUAUUUGUCAAAAGCUAUCAGGAAAAACAUUUCAUCAUACAGCUUAAAAUCAGUGCCAUUGAAGGUUUGUAACAUUAUGGUUUAAGGAGCAAGAACAAUUUUGUUGAACAGUGACAAUGCAUUUCCACACUCAAUUGAAGCUAAAAUGAACAUGAAGGGAAAUGGGGUGGAGCCACUAAAGACAAAACUAUUAUCUGAAAUCCUUAGGGGACGAAGCAAUGCAUCUUGGCACUCUGCAAUCUCGCUUACCUAUGGGGGUGGAUUGCUAUUUUAUAUGCUGUUGAUCUUCUCAAUGUUUGUUAAUUUUUUCGACCUUACCAUUUUCUUACAAGAGCAUUCACGAUGUAGUUUUGCGCUGACAGCUAUUCAGUUGGUCUGAAGAGACCUGAAUUUGUGACAAAAAGUUUGCCAAGAUGAAGAUUGCAAGGUCCAAACAGUGCUGGUAGAAAUAAUAAUCCCAGAUGCAGCCUUCAAUUAUACUUGGUUUGUUGACCUCAGCUUUGUUACUGAAAGCAUUUCUUCUAAACCACAGAAUGACAUUGACGCUUGAGGAGGUACAAACUUUCUGAAAUGGCCUCAAAGAUGAUUGCAAGUGAAGCAAGGUGGUGGAGGUGGUGGUGAAUGGUGACUACCUACAAAUGCAAGCUGAAUUAAUCCUCAAAUUUGAUAGUCAUGGAGUCGCUCAAAGCCAAAUUGAUAUCUGGAUUUCUUGGAUCAACUGACAAAACAUACAAAUUUCUUGGAUUAACUAACAAAAUAUACAAAGGGGGCAGAGCUUGGUUGCUUCAAAUGUGAAGUGUGGCAAAGGAAUGCAAAACCCAAACACCAACAGUUUUUGUUUGGGUUUUGACACUAGGUUCUGAUGAUCAUACUCAGAAAUGAAUGGUUGAAAUACCAAUCUGGUUGGCCCUUUGCAUGUAGUUGAUGAUUGUUAAGGAGAGCCUGAACAGUGCACUGCACCAUUCUACUAAUGGAGCUUGGUAUGCGGUAUGCCAAAGUGGGGAAUGAGCAGGGAAUAAAACAUGGUUUGGUUUUAUCCUUUUCAAAUCUUGGUUGUACAUGUUUGAAAUGUGAACAUUUUUUGGCUGGCUUUCCAAUCCUAUUACCAAAAUUCUUCCCAUCCCACAAUUUGGGUAGAGCCAAAUUCUUUUUGGAAAAAGUACAAAAGUUUGAUAUUGUAAAUUUACGUCUUCAUGUAUUUACAUAUAUGAGAUUUCUUGAACUUCACACUAAAACUGUCAAGUCGAUUUGUCAUAAUAAACCUAAUGAAAAAAAUAAUUUGUUCGUAGUU